rnacentral:rRNA from 1 species
GACGAACGCUGGCGGCGUGCUUAACACAUGCAAGUCGAACGGUAAGGCCCUUCGGGGUACACGAGUGGCGAACGGGUGAGUAACACGUGGGUGAUCUGCCCUGCACUUCGGGAUAAGCCUGGGAAACUGGGUCUAAUACCGGAUAGGACCACUGCCUGCAUGGGUGGUGGUGGAAAGCUUUUGCGGUGUGGGGUGGGCCCGCGGCCUAUCAGCUUGUUGGUGGGGUGAUGGGCUACCAAGGCGACGCCGGGUAGCCGGCCUGGGAGGGUGACCGGCCACACUGGGACGGAGAUACGGCGCAGGCUCCUACGGGAGGCAGCAGUGGGGAAUCUUGCACAAUGGGCGCAAGCCUGGUGCAGCGACGCCGCGUGAGGGAUGACGGCCUUCGGGUUGUAAACCUCUUUCAGCACCGACGAAGCGCAAGUGACGGUAGGUGCAGAAGAAGGACCGGCCAACUACGUGCCAGCCGCCGCAGUAA